rnacentral:rRNA from 1 species
GACGGAGGAUGCAAGUGUUAUCCGGAAUCACUGGGCGUAAAGCGUCUGUAGGUGGUUUAAUAAGUCAACUGUUAAAUCUUGAGGCUCAACCUCAAAAUCGCAGUCGAAACUAUUAGGCUAGAGUAUAGUAGGGGUAAAGGGAAUUUCCAGUGGAGCGGUGAGAUGCGUAGAGAUCCGGAGGAACACCAAUGGCGAAGGCAGGGUCCUGGCUGGCACCUGACGCUCAUGUGCGAAAGCCAGGGGAGCGAACGGG